AUUGAACGCUGGCGGCAGGCUUAACACAUGCAAGUCGAGCGGUAACAGAGAGAAGCUUGCUUCUCUGCUGACGAGCGGCGGACGGGUGAGUAAUGCCUAGGAAUAUGCCUUGAAGAGUGGGACAACUUGGGGAAACUCAAGCUAAUACCGCAUGUACUCGAGAGAGUAAAGCUGGGGACCUUUAGGCCUGGCGCUUUAAGAUUAGCCUGCGUCCGAUUAGCUAGUUGGUAGGGUAAAGGCCUACCAAGGCGACGAUCGGUAGCUGGUCUGAGAGGAUGAUCAGCCACACUGGAACUGAGAGACGGUCCAGACUCCUACGGGAGGCAGCAGUGGGGAAUAUUGGACAAUGGGGGGAACCCUGAUCCAGCAAUGCCGCGUGUGUGAAGAAGGCCUGAGGGUUGUAAAGCACUUUCAGUGGGGAGGAGGUUUGGAAGGUUAAGAGCUAUUCAAAUGGACGUUACCCACAGAAGAAGCACCGGCUAACUCCGUGCCAGCCGCCGCGGUAA
rnacentral:rRNA from 1 species